UACGGGGGGGGCAAGCGUUGUUCGGAAUUACUGGGCGUAAAGGGCUUGUAGGUGGCCAACUAAGUCAGACGUGAAAUCCCUCAGCUUAACUGGGGAACUGCGUCUGAUACUGGAUGGCUUGAGUUUGGGAGAGGGAAGCGGAAUUCCGGGUGUAGCGGUGAAAUGCGUAGAUAUCCGGAGGAACACCGGUGGCGAAGGCGGCUUCCUGGACCGACACUGACGCUGAGGCGCGAAAGCUAGGGGAGCAAACGGG
rnacentral:rRNA from 1 species